UGGAACGCUUUGAUAAGCGGGAGUCGCUUUGAUUAUUAAAUUCACCGCCAGUGAGUGGAACGAAGCCGUGAUCAGUGACUCACAAGCUGCUACUGUACAGUGCUGGUACGCUUGGAGCCUCUUACCGUCGCAGUCUCAAGACAUGGUUGUGAUCGAGGAGUUGGUAUGUAAAGGUGUGCUGUUACCUCCGUGUACCCUCGGUGGUCCACUACGAUAACUGAAUCGAUAAAGCUAAAUAUGCGUUAAAGUUGAA
rnacentral:lncRNA from 1 species